GGGGUUGUGGCUCAGUGGUAGAGUGUGUGCCUUGCAUGUGUAAGGCACUGGGUUUGAUCCUCAGCACCACA
rnacentral:tRNA from 1 species